rnacentral:tRNA from 1 species
GAGGGUAUAGCUCAGUGGUAGAGCACAUGCUUAACAUGCAUGAGGUCCUGGUUCCAAACCCCAGUACCUCCA